UACGUAGGGUGCGAGCGUUAAUCGGAAUCACUGGGCGUAAAGCGCACGUAGGCGGAUUGUUAAGUCAGGGGUGAAAUCCUGGAGCUCAACUCCAGAACUGCCUUUGAUACUGGCGAUCUUGAGUUCGGGAGAGGUGAGUGGAACUGCGAGUGUAGAGGUGAAAUUCGUAGAUAUUCGCAAGAACACCAGUGGCGAAGGCGGCUCACUGGCCCGAUACUGACGCUGAGGUGCGAAAGCGUGGGGAGCAAACAGG
rnacentral:rRNA from 1 species